UUUUUUUUUUUUGGUGACUCGGCUAAAAGUGGGGCUCCAUUUUUACGCUUGGUGAUACAGUAAAGUGCAAGUUUUUUUUUUUUUUUUUUCCCCCGAAAUUUCAAAAUGCUCAAGAUUGAUACAGUUUCCUGUUAAAAUUGAGAGAAGGAAAAUAUAAAAUGACUUCGGUUGCACCUUUUUUCCUUGGCAAGUGUCGGUGCGAGCUUCAUUCCUUGUGCCGCUCAGCAUAAUGUCAUUAUUGCUAAUUAUCAUAUGUUUAUCAAAGGAAUUGGACUCUUUCAAAUUAUUGCAAGUUUCACCUUCGGGAAGCAAGAAGGAUACAUUAUUGUUUCGACUUUAUUUAUUUAUUUAUUUAUUUAUAAAUUAUCAUUAAUUGAGUGAUCUAAUUAGAAAAAUUAUUAAACCAAACCACCCCUUGUCUUUUCUCUCGUGGGGUGUCUUAACCCUAAAUUGAUACGACUCGAAGUCAUUGCAGUUGUGAUGGCACUUUAAUUAACGUAAAGAUCCUCAAAUCAAACCUCGAACGCAGCAUUCAUUAUUAACCAGAAAACUCCACAUUUUGACUUGUGAUUUAAGCUUAAGUUAGCUACCUGGCGACUUGGAUUACUUAACUAAUUAUGUUGACCAUCACCAAACCUAAAGUCUACAGAACAGCAAGAGCCAUCAAGAACCGUCGGUGGGGUUUCCUCCUCACAUUGCUCUUCUUCAUGGGCUGUGAUUUGGUGAAUCUCUAUCUACCGUACUAUGUUUGCUUCCAAAAUCCCCAAAAAGGGCCAAAUAAGUGACAAGUUGUAUUAAUUAAUAGUAGAAUUUCAAGAUUAAUAAUUCUACCACUAUUUUUAAGUUUCUAUCAAAUUUCUAUUAAAUAUACUCACUAAAGUGUUUUUUUUCCCAUUAGUUGCUGAUGAUUACUAUUUUCGGGUUUUGUUAAAAUAUUUAAAUUAAUAACUUAAAAAAAAAAAGGAAAAUUGCAUUAUUUUAUUAGAAUUAUUUAGAAAUAAGUAUCAGCCUGUACAUAAUUAUAUAUUUAAUCAAGAUUCUCUGUCAAACUCACAAGAAGAUCAUUAAUCAAAACACCUUCCAACCAUCUGAUCUACAACUACAAGGGCCUCGCCAAUCGCCAUGAGACAUGGACCCCACGUUCUCUGACACUACACUCUUUCACAUGCCCAGAAGCAAGCCAAGACCCUUUUUAUUUAUUUUUUUAUUUUUGGGACGGUUUUAAAACGGCAGCAAAAACAUAGGGGAUAACAUUGGAACCCCUAGCUAUUCUCAUUCACAACGAAUAACUUUAGUUCGUGCAUGUAAUCAAAUAGACCCCUAGUCUUUAUAAAUAUACACUUAAAAAUCAACAGAGACAUGCCCGGAUCAGCUUUAUGAUAGCAUAUCCUAAAUAUGAGGCUUUGGAAUGAGUGAAUUUAAUUUUAAAUAUUUGAAGAAAAUUUUCUUCUAUUAAUAUAGAUAAUAAAUAAAUUUAAACCUUUUCAAAAAAAAAAAAUUUAAUAUGUUCAUAUCAUCAUAUGCACAAAAAGAAAGAUAUGUUAAUAAAUAAGUGGUUCUAGAUAUAUUUUAAAAUUUUUUAAUUAUAAAAUAAUAUGAUACAAAAAUUUUGGACAGACAAUAAUAGUUAGUUUUGUUAACAUAAAUAUGUUAAUAAUAUUGAUUUUGAUGAUAACAAAUUUUAAAUGAUUUUUUAUAAAAGUAUUGGAGCUAUUUCUUAAUAAACGAGAGCCUUAGUAAUCAUUCCAUUCAUGCUUCAUAAAAGAUGGACUUUAAAAUUAGAAAAAGAUUCUCUGCAAAAAUAAAAAACUGGUUUAAAAUGUAAUUCUGGUUAUAAACGGUAAACCGUUUAUUUAAACGGUUAACCGAUAACAGCCAGAGAGCAACAUAUUUCCUAAGCCUCUAACCGUUUAUGAAAAACGGAAAACACAAAAGAUGGGAAGGUUACUGGAACUUAACGGUGAACCGUUUAUUUUAAACGGUUAACCGAUUAUCACCAGAGAGCAACAUAUUACCUAAGCUCUAACCGUUUAUGCUUACCGGAAAACACCCAAGAUGGGAAGGCUACUGGAACCUAACGGUGAACCGUUUAUUUUAAACGAUUAACCGAUAACGUCCAGAAUUGAAGGUUGUCCUCCUCUGGCACUGAUUAACGAAAACUGAUAAGGCUAAAUUGUUUUGCAGGUUACUGGAGACAAACGGCGAACCGUUUAUAUCAAACGGUUAACCAAUAAUGUCCAGAGAAGCCACUUCACGCAAGUCCUUAACCGUUUAGCGUAAACUGAUAACAAAUACUCAUUUUGCAGGUCUCUGGAAGUUAACGGCGAAAGGGCAACCCUAAACGGCAAACCGUUUAUUUGAAAUCUGGCCCAACGGUAACUUUGACCAGCCUAAACGGUUAACCGUUUAUGGUUAACGGCGAACCGUUUUCUGUCCGACAGUUUGUAACGGCUAGAUUUUCGGCUCCAAAUAUAAAUAAGCUCAUUCAAAUUCAAAGAAGAUUGAUCACAACACGACCAUUUGAGCUAAUAUUCGAGAAUACAAUCUUCAUAGAGCUUAGAACAUAUUCUUGCUUCAUCUAUUCACAUAUUAAGCAUCAUUGUGUAAUCUUAUAUAUUGUGAGAGGCAAAACAAUUUAUAAUCUUUUAUUUUGAGUGAUUGUAAGUGUUGGGAUACACUUGGGUUAAGAGAUUAGGGAUAAUCUUUUGUUGUAAAGGUUCAUUGACACCUUGGAAGUCAAGUGUAAGCAUUUGAAGCCUUGGAGGCUUGCUUAGUGGAAUCCUCAAGCCCGGAAAGCUUGAAGGCGUGGACGUAGGCGAGGUUGGCCGAACCACGUAAAAAUCUCGGUGUUUGAAUCCCUCUUUCCUUAUCUUUUUAUAUUGUGAUUCUCUUAAUUGUUAUUGCUUUGAAUUUGAUUUAUAAUUGCAUUAAGAUUUUCUUUAAUAAAUUGAAUAAUUUUUUUAGAAUCCCAAUUCACCCCCCCUCUUGGGUUGCAUUCUUGUAUUUCAAUUGGUAUCAGAGCCUCGUUCUCUUGUUAAGACUUAAUCGUCUAGAGUAAAAGAUCCAUGGCAACCCUAAAUGACUCAACCUUUAGAGAAGGGCAAUCCACAACUAGACCACCAUUUUUCGAUGGUAAUGACUAUGCUUAUUGGAAAACUAGAAUGAGAAUUUAUUUGCAAGCCUUAGAUUAUGAAAUUUGGGAAGUUGUUUGUGAUGGUCCAUUCAUGCCUACGUUCAAAGAUGAAGUAGGAGAUGAUAUUCCUAAACCAUCGAGUCAAUGGAGUGAGUUAGAAAAGAGAAAGAUGUCUCUAAACUCCAAGGCUAUGAAUGCUUUGUUUUGUGCCCUUGAUAAGAAAGAAUUCCAUAGAGUAUCUAGUUGUGAAAGUGCACAAGAGAUAUGGAACAAACUUGAAGUUGUCUAUGAAGGGACAAAUCAAGUGAAAGAGUCUAAAAUCAGUAGAUACACUCGUCAAUAUGAGUUGUUCUAAAUGGAACAAAAUGAAAUGUGUAUUCUAUGUAUACUAGAUUCACGGACAUAGUGAACACCCUAGGUGCCUUAGGGAAAACCUUCUCAAAUAGUGAGAAAGUUAAGAAAAUCAUUAGGUCUCUUCCAAAAGAAUGGAGACCUAAAAGAACCGCUAUUGAAGAGGCCAAAGAUUUAAAUACUUUACCUCUUGAUGAUUUAAUUGGUUCUCUUAUUUCGUAUGAAGAGGAUUUAGCUGCAGAAAGAGGACAUGAGGAGAAGAAGAAAAGCAUUGCUCUCAAAGCUUCAAAAUAUGAGAGUGAUGAGGAGAGUGAACCGGAUAAUGAAGAACUAGUCAUGCUAGCAAGGAGGUUCAGAAAAUUCUUCAAGAAAACCGGAGAGCGAAGAAAUUUCAGAAACUUCAAGAACUAUAGGGAGAAGAAGGAGGCAAUCACUUGCUAUGAAUGCAAGAAGCCUGGACAUAUAAGAUCGGAGUGCCCACUUAUCAACAAACUCAAGAAGAAAGCAAUGGUUGCAACUUGGGAUGAUAGUGAGGAAGAAUCAAAUGAUGAAGAAGGAUCGCAAGAAGUAUCAAACCUAGCACUCAUGGCAAUAGGAGGAGAUGAUGAUCUCAAUGAGGUAAGUGAUCCUACCUAUGAUGAAUUAUAUGAUGCUUUUCAAGAUUUGCAUAAUGAGUUGAUGAAAAUUGGUAAAAAGAAUGUAUGUCUUAAAAAGGAAAUGGCAAAGCUUAAAAAUGAAAAUGAAUCUCUAAAUGCAAGAAUUGUAUGCCUAGAAGUAGGAAACAAAACAUUGCAUGAUGAAAUUGCAUUAUCAAAUGAGAAACCUAGCAUCUUACAUGAGCAUUUGAAAUCACACAUAGAUGAGUUGAAAAAUGAGAACGAAUUGCUCAAGAAAAAGAAUAAUGAAUUAAAUGAAAUUGUUUUGAAAUUUACAAAUGGGCAAAAGAUGUUGGAUAAUAUGCUUAACUCACAAAAAUGUAUUUUUGAUAAAGGAGGACUUGGAUAUAAGCCAAAUUUGAAGCAAAAGUAUUAUAAGAAUUAUUUUGUUAAAGCUACCUCCACAAAUGAUCAUAAGAUUGUAUGUCAUUAUUGUAAUCAAAAUGGUCACAUGAAAUUUAAAUGUCCCGUGAAAAGGAAUGCAUAUUAUGGUGUCAAGUGCAUUUGGGUUCCAAAAGGAACCGUUGCUAACUCUCAAGGACCCAAAAAGCUUUGGGUACCUAAAACUUGAGACUUUUUCUUGUAGGGCUUGAAGAAGAAGAAUAAUAAAUGGUACUUGGACAGCGGUUGUUCAAGGCACAUGACCGGAAACUAUGCAUGGUUCUCAAGCUUUACCAAAAUUGAAAAUGGUGGAGACGUAUCCUUUGGAGACAACUCAAAAGGAAAAAUCCUUGGAAUUGGAAAUGUUGGUAAAGUUUCUUCAACUCUAAUUGAGAAUGUAUGUUUGGUUGAAAACUUGAAACACAACUUAAUUAGCAUUAGUCAAUUAUAUGACAAAGGUUAUAAAGUUAUCUUUGAUAAAUUUAGUUGUGUUAUUGAGAACUCAUGUGAUGGCAAAACCUUAUUUUUUGGAAAUAGAUGUGGUAAUGUUUAUAUCAUUGACAUAGAAUGUGCAUCUACUCUUGAUAAAUGUUUUUCGGCAUUGCAUGAUGAUUGUUGGUUGUGGCAUAGAAGGUUAGGACAUGCAAGUAUGGAUUUGAUUUCAAAAAUUUCAAAAGAUGAUUUAGUUAAAGGUCUUCCGAAAAUUGGUUUUCAAAAGGAUAAGAUUUGUGAAGCUUGUCAAUUUGGAAAACAAAUUAAAACUUCUUUCAAGAAUAAAAACCAUAUUUCUACUUCAAAACCACUUGAACUUCUUCACAUAGAUCUUUUUGGGCCAUCUAGAUAUGCAAGUCUAAAUGGCAAAUAUUAUGCUUUUGUGAUAGUGGAUGAUUAUUCUAGAUAUACAUGGGUAUUAUUCUUAGCCAAUAAGGAUGAUGCUCUUGAUGCAUUUAAAGUGCUUUGUAAGAAAUUACAAAAUGAAAAAGGGCAUGGUAUUGUAUGCAUUAGGAGUGAUCAUGGAGGAGAAUUUGAAAAUCAUGCAUUUGAGAGUUUUUGCAAUAAUCUAGGCAUUGAGCAUCAAUUUUCUUCACCUAGAACUCCACAACAAAAUGAAGUUGUUGAGAGAAAGAAUAGGUCUAUUCAAGAAAUGGCUAGGACCAUGUUAAAUGAAAAUGCAUUACCAAAAUAUUUUUGGGCCGAAGCCGUCAACACCGCUUGUUAUGUUUUAAAUCGGGUGUUGAUUAGACCUAAUCUUAAUAAAACUUCAUAUGAGCUUUGGAAAGAUAGAAAACCCAACAUUGGCUAUUUUAAAGUUUUUGGAUGCAAAUGUUUUGUUUUGAACACAAAAGACAAUCUUGGUAAAUUUGAUUCAAAAUCCGAUGUUGGUAUUUUUCUUGGUUAUUCAAAUUCAAGCAAAGCUUAUAGAGUUUAUAACAAAAGAACUUUAGUUGUGGAAGAAUCUAUGCAUGUCACAUUUGAUGAGUCUAACCCCUCCUCUACGAAGAAAGUCGUUGUUGAUGAUGAUGCAGGAGAAGAAGAACAAGAAGAAGAAGCAUCAAAUGACAAUCAAGAGGAUGCACCACAUGGAAUUCAAGAGGAACAUCAUGAAGAACCAAAUGUGGAGCAAAAUGAAGGUACUUCUCAAACACUCCCCAAGGAGUGGAGGUAUGUCUCUUCUCACCCUAAAGAUGUAAUUUUAGGAGAUCCCUCACGAGGUAUAACAACUAGAUCAUCACUUAGAAAUACUUGUGAGCAUAAUGCAUUCAUCUCUCAAAUUGAACCAAAAUCCUUUGAGGAUGCAGAAAAUGAUGAAUCUUGGAUUAUGGCAAUGCAAGAGGAGUUAAAUCAAUUUGAAAGAAACAAUGUGUGGGAACUAGUUCCUAAACCUGAACAUCAAUCUAUAAUAGGUACUAAAUGGGUGUUUAGAAAUAAGAUGGAUGAAUCCGGUGUGGUUGUAAGAAACAAAGCUAGAUUAGUGGCUCAAGGUUACAACCAAGAGGAAGGAAUUGAUUUUGAUGAAACCUUUGCACCUGUAGCAAGGUUAGAAUCCAUUAGGAUGUUGUUAGCAUAUGCAUGUCAUAAGGAUUUUAUUUUAUAUCAAAUGGAUGUCAAGAGUGCUUUCUUAAAUGGAUAUAUUUUGGAGGAAGUUUAUGUGAAACAACCUCCUGGUUUUGAAAAUGAAAAAUUUCUAAAUCAUGUGUAUAAGUUGCUCAAAGCCUUGUAUGGAUUAAAACAAGCACCUAGAGCAUGGUAUGAUAGACUUAAAAAUUUCUUGCUAGAAAAUGACUUCUCUAUGGGUAAAGCGGAUACUACUCUUUUUGUUAAGCAUAAGAACCAAGACAUACUUAUUGUUCAAAUUUAUGUUGAUGAUAUUAUUUUUGGUUCUACUAAUGAGUUGUUGUGUAAAGAAUUUUCAUUGUGUAUGAGCAAAGAAUUUGAGAUGAGUAUGAUGGGAGAGUUGAAAUACUUCCUUGGACUUCAAAUCAAACAAAGCGAGGAAGGAAUUUUCAUAAAUCAAGCCAAGUACAUAAAGGAUCUACUCAAACGAUUCGGCAUUGAUGAUUCAAAGACCAAGAAUACACCAAUGAGCACAACAACCAAGCUGGACAAAGAUGAAAAAGGUAAAGAAGUGGAUAUCAAAAUGUAUCGAGGUAUGAUCGGAUCCCUACUCUAUUUGACUGCAAGUAGACCCGAUAUCAUGUUUAGUGUAUGUUUGUGUGCAAGAUUUCAGUCAUGUCCCAAGGAAUCUCAUUAUGAGGCUUUGGAAUGAGUGAAUUUAAUUUUAAAUAUUUGAAGAAAAUUUUCUUCUAUUAAUAUAGAUAAUAAAUAAAUUUAAACCUUUUCAAAAAAAAAAUUUAAUAUGUUCAUAUCAUCAUAUGCACAAAAAGAAAGAUAUGUUAAUAAAUAAGUGGUUCUAGAUAUAUUUUAAAAUUUUUUAAUUAUAAAAUAAUAUGAUACAAAAAUUUUGGACAGACAAUAAUAGUUAGUUUUGUUAACAUAAAUAUGUUAAUAAUAUUGAUUUUGAUGAUAACAAAUUUUAAAUGAUUUUUUAUAAAAGUAUUGGAGCUAUUUCUUAAUAAACGAGAGCCUUAGUAAUCAUUCCAUUCAUGCUUCAUAAAAGAUGGACUUUAAAAUUAGAAAAAGAUUCUCUGCAAAAAUAAAAAACUGGUUUAAAAUGUAAUUCUGGUUAUAAACGGUAAACCGUUUAUUUAAACGGUUAACCGAUAACAGCCAGAGAACAACAUAUUUCCUAAACCUCUAACCGUUUAUGAAAAACGGAAAACACAAAAGAUGGGAAGGUUACUGGAACUUAACGGUGAACCGUUUAUUUUAAACGGUUAACCGAUUAUCACCAGAGAGCAACAUAUUACCUAAGCUCUAACCGUUUAUGCUUACCGGAAAACACCCAAGAUGGGAAGGCUACUGGAACCUAACGGUGAACCGUUUAUUUUAAACGAUUAACCGAUAACGUCCAGAAUUGAAGGUUGUCCUCCUCUGGCACUGAUUAACGAAAACUGAUAAGGCUAAAUUGUUUUGCAGGUUACUGGAGACAAACGGCGAACCGUUUAUAUCAAACGGUUAACCGAUAAUGUCCAGAGAAGCCACUUCACGCAAGUCCUUAACCGUUUAGCGUAAACUGAUAACAAAUACUCAUUUUGCAGGUCUCUGGAAGUUAACGGCGAAAGGGCAACCCUAAACGGCAAACCGUUUAUUUGAAAUCUGGCCCAACGGUAACUUUGACCAGCCUAAACGGUUAACCGUUUAUGGUUAACGGCGAACCGUUUUCUGUCCGACAGUUUGUAACGGCUAGAUUUUCGGCUCCAAAUAUAAAUAAGCUCAUUCAAAUUCAAAGAAGAUUGAUCACAACACGACCAUUUGAGCUAAUAUUCGAGAAUACAAUCUUCAUAGAGCUUAGAACAUAUUCUUGCUUCAUCUAUUCACAUAUUAAGCAUCAUUGUGUAAUCUUAUAUAUUGUGAGAGGCAAAACAAUUUAUAAUCUUUUAUUUUGAGUGAUUGUAAGUGUUGGGAUACACUUGGGUUAAGAGAUUGGGGAUAAUCUCUUGUUGUAAAGGUUCAUUGACACCUUGGAAGUCAAGUGUAAGCAUUUGAAGCCUUGGAGGCUUGCUUAGUGGAAUCCUCAAGCCCGGAAAGCUUGGAGGCGUGGACGUAGGCGAGGUUGGCCGAACCACGUAAAAAUCUCGGUGUUUGAAUCCCUCUUUCCUUAUCUUUUUAUAUUGUGAUUCUCUUAAUUGUUAUUGCUUUGAAUUUGAUUUAUAAUUGCAUUAAGAUUUUCUUUAAUAAAUUGAAUAAUUUUUUUAGAAUCCCAAUUCACCCCCCCUCUUGGGUUGCAUUCUUGUAUUUCAAGUUUAUGGCAGGAGUGACUUUUGAGAGAGCUUGGUAUCUUUAGGAUUGCUAUCAUUAGAGAGAUUGGUAGGUGAAAUAUUGUAAGGGACAUUAGGGGUGUUAUCCGCAAAGACCCUCUGAUGUUUAAGUCGGGGGUUGGGAGUAGCAUUGAUAAUAAAUAAUAACGUAGAUAAAAAAAAAAAAAAAAAAAAGACUUGGAUGAUAUUGUGCUCUAUCCUCCAUUAUCCUUUUUUUUUCCUAUCUUUGGGUACUGGCCUCGGUAUAUAAGAGGAAUAAUUAAAAGUAUAAUUAAGUUAGAAACAAUUAUUUCCUAUAUUGUAAAUUUUGAGUUUGACAAGGAUUAAGAUCUAUGAUAUUUUAUCUUAUUUAGUUUAGGACAUGUCCACUUUUGUCAUUAGGUAAAAAUCUAAGUACAACAAACAAUCUACUAAUAUUUAUAAUUAAAACUCCAUUAUUUUUUUAAUUUUAAUAUACUAUUUGGGAUAUCUUGUACUACUCUUAUUCAAAUUAUAUUAUAAUACAAUCCUAAAAUAUAGAUAAAGAGUGGAGCUAUUGGCACUCCCUUAUUAAACUUUUAAAACCCCUAUUUUCUGCAAUUACAUUUAAGGACAAAUGUAAAUCUACCAUAUUUUCUCUCUCUAAAAUACAAACACGCCCAUACGCCCAUGCCUCGCAUAAGUACAAUUUUUCACUAUUUACAAUUUCUUGGCAUUCAUCAUCAAUUCCAUUCCAAAUAUCAAUGAAUUGUUUGAAUCUCAGGCAUCCAAAAAACUAAAAAAGAGUGUUAUAGACCUAACAAUCUUUUGUUUGAAAAAUCUCAUGACUAUCCAAUGGCUUAGCAUAAAUUAAGGAGUGGGACUAAGAGAAUUUAUAAAACGGCAAAAUUGCAAGAGAAAAGAUUUCAAGAGAUGGACGGAAAAUUGUAUGAAUGACGAGACCAAAAGCAUGACAUGAGAUAGGUGGCAGAAAUAUUUUCGAUAUUUAUUGUUGGGUAUUGUUGAGAAAAUCAAAUUUAGAAGAAGGGUAACUUUGGAAUUAAAGUAGGUGCUAAUAAUAACUAUAAAUUUUCUAUCAUUGUUCAAUGGGGUGUACUUAUAAUAGAGGUUUUAAAAGGAUAUUAGAGGGAUGCCAAUAGCCCCACUCAUAGAUAAAAAAUAAGUUAUACUUCUAAAUAUAUGGAAGAAAAUUAAUCUUUUUACAACACAAGGUAGUUGAAUAUUCAAAUUACCGAUGUAUAACUGAUGACAUACUGUGAAGUGUAUUUAAGUUAUUUUAUGGGACCUAAUUGACAGAAGAGAACAAACUAACGUGCUUGGACGAACAAUCACAGAAAACAGGGGGACCCAAAUCUCAUAAUGAAGAAAAAAAAAAAAACAUGAUCAAAACUACGUCUACGUGUGGUCGUGUGAGAAGUAGGGAGUGAGAUCACAAAUCGAAUUGAAAACUUGGCAUAAAAGUUAUCAACGAAAAGGAAAUUACAGCAACAAUAUAAGAAGAGUAAGCUUUGAGUCAAGACGGAGACAGAGAAAGCAAAGCCAGAUUCCAAAGUUGGUGAGGUGUACGCAUCCCUUUUGGGUGGCGACUAUUGCCUCUUCCCUCCCCCCUCCAACUCCCUUUCUCACUUUACAUAUCACAAACACAUUCUUCAUUCCUCUCCAAAUCUAAAUCACCAAGUAAAAAAUAAUAAAUAAAUAAAAAAGAAUGUCCGACAGAGUCUUCCCGUCUUCAAAACCCGCCGCGAACGGCAACGGCACCGUCUCUGCCGCCGCGCCUCCCCCCGUAAAGCCCCCACUCCGCCCGCCGUACCGUCCCCAGCCCCACGCACGCCGCCACCACCACCGGCCCCGCCGCAGCUACUGCUGCUGCUGCUGCUUCUGGACCAUUCUCGUAAUUCUCAUCCUCGCUCUACUCGCCGCCAUCGCCGCCACCGCUCUUUACGUCCUCUACCGGCCCCAUCGCCCCGAAUUCUCCGUCCCCUCCCUCCGGCUUCACCGCCUCAACCUCACCUCCUCCGCCGACUCAUCGACCAACCACGUCGCCACUCUCUUGAACUUCACCGUCACUUCGAAGAACCCAAACUCCCACAUCACUUUCUACUACGACCCGUUCGUUAUUUCUGCCUUGUCCUCGAGUGACGUAUUCCUCGGAAAUGGGACUGUGCCUGGUUUCUUUUCGGACAAAAAGAACCAGACCUUUCUCAAAAACGCGGUCGUCUCGGGAUCCAUUGAUCUUGACACGGAUUCGGUGAAGUCAUUGAAGUCGGAUCUGAAGAAAAAGAGUGGGGUUUCCUUAAAAAUAAAGCUGGACACGAAGGUGAAAGUGAAAGUGGGGAAGCUCAGCAGCAAGAAGGUGGGCAUUAGGGUUACGUGUGAAGGUUUUAGAGCGGCAUUACCAAAAGGUAAGUCACCGUCGGUGGCUACCGUUGAUAAGUCUAAGUGUAAGGUCGAUCUUCGGAUCAAGAUCUGGAAAUUUACUUUUUAGUUUUUCUUCUUUCUUUCUUUUUCUUUUUCUUUUUUAAAAUUUAAUUCAGCUGUUUGUUCCCCCACACACAAACCCCAACCCCCCCUUCUUCUUUCCCUUUUUUUUGGGUUAUAUUUUUGAGAGUUUGUUAACUGUUUAUUCUGAUGAAGAUGAACAUGAAAGGUGAAUUAUGGAGUUGAGAAAUUGGAAAUUGAUAAUGUGAGUAGAGAGAGUGAAAGAGGAGAAAGGUGUUAAAUUUAGAAUUUUAUCCCAAAAAUCUGCCUUUUUUUUUUUUUUUUUUAAGUGUUGUAAGUGAAUUUGGUUGAUAUAUAUAUAAUUGGUUCAUUGAGAAUUGAAUUAUGAGAGUAUUACUUUUGUUAAUUUACAUGGUCUAUAGCAUAAUUAUGCAAAAGCAUAAUUCAAUGAAUUCGAUGUUAAUUGUACUAACGCAUUUGACGAAGUGCUGUGCUUGUGAAAGCGGCGGGCAUUUAUACUUUUAUGGGGUUGUUGAUCAUUCAGGAAAGAUGAUAUGAUGACUUCUCAGGAUUGUUGAUGAAUUUAGAGAGUGGGUAACCUGAAGGGUCCGUUUUGCCAGUUUUGAGUUGCAUUUUUCAAGUCUUGUUAGUAAUAAAAAAUAAAAAAUUGAGAAUUUUAGUAAAUAAUUUGGAUAUGGAGUUAAAAGUUUUGAAGAAGAGAUGACCAACAAUUUAAUUUGGUUUGAGUCUCAUUGUUGGUCAUGGGAACCAAUUAGAGCAAGACCCCGUGGGUGGCUGCCCACCUUCCAGCUCAUGGUACGCACGAUUGCAUUUAAGAUAUGAAAUUUGUAGGCCUGUUCAGCUAUCACAUUGUAGUAGUUGUAGUAGUAGUAGCAGUAGAUCUGAUGGGGGGGAAGCGGCAUUGAAUUGAUUGAAAAAUGAGGUGUGAGUUGAAAUCUUAAUUUAUUUCUGUGCCUAUCACAUUUGAGUUUAGUGGUGACCAGGGAACGAUAGAAAAUAAUAGUGUAAUAAGAAUGAAAUCUUGACUUUAUAAAUGAUAUGAAAGCUUUGGUUUUUCCUGUAAGUUGAUUAAUGGGGGGGGGGGGUCGUCCCGUCCACAUCCAUUAAAGUGGUCUUCGUCCGUCGCGUGCAUCUGAAUCUGAUCUCACUUCCGUUCCACCAACCAUGCUACAAAUUAAUCAUCUUUUACUCCGCUUAAUUUACUAUACUACUACGCUUUGGAAGAUAGAUUGAUUGAGAAAGAAGAAAUGCCAAAAAAAAAGAAAAUGAACUACUUGGCAAGCAAUGGAUAAAGCCAUAAAGGAGAGCAUUGCAUUCAAAAGUGAACCUCCCGAUAUCAUGAUAAAUAGGGAGCGAAGUACACGAACAUGAACAUGAACAUUGUUUGUCGUCUCUCGUGGUGUGACGAUGUGGAGAAAAGCCGAAAGGUAAAAGUGGAGUUAAAUUCGGAUGCACGUGCUUUGUGUGCGUACGUGGUCUGCUCGGACAGGGGCAGUUAGAAUUUUGUCAGUGCCCACUCCCCACUGCCCAUCUGGCUCCUUUUCUUUGCACCGACUUUUAUUUUUAUUGAGGAGAUAAAGAAUCAAAGGAGACGGACAAGAGGAGCCUCUUCUUCUUUUUUUAAUUUCUCUUUGAUUAAAACGAUGAAAAAAAUUAUUAAUAAAAUGUGAAAAAUUGGACAUAAAAGUGAAUUUUAAAAAAAUUAGUGCACCUCAAUACUGAAAAAAACCUGAAUAUAGCGGGACUUGGCUUGUAAAUUCUGUACCAGUCUUAGUAUCACCGCCUACACAACUCUCCAACCCAUACUCUCUUAGUACUUCAUACGCAAUUCUCUUUUUUCUGCAUCACCACCGACACAUUUCACCAAUUGUUCACGACAAAUGAUAACCUGAAGCCUCCAAUCCAAGCAAUGAUAGGCUACGUCUUAUUCUUUCAUCAACACCAGCGCGUACCAUGACCAAACUUGGAUACCAAUCAAAAUGAAGUUAUUGGAUCCGCUUGUCAAACAGGUACAAACAAUUCCUGCAGCAAAAAAUUAUAACGCUUUCACACCAUACGUCUAGUGUCUACAUCCGUAGAACUGGCGGCUGCUCGAAGAGGAUCCAUUGUCGUUCGUUGCAUUUGCCUUCCGAAAUAAUUAAUUAAGGCAAUCUUGUACGCUUACGCAUAAUCGCUUACCGCGUGUGCACGAGCUCAGGCUGCUGCUGUUGAUUUGUUAAAAGCUGUAUUUCGGCAAUUAAAGGUGUGUUUGGGAGUGAAGGUGUUAUAGUUUUUAAGCUGCAGUUGUUGUGGAGGAAAAGAUACCGUCGUGGAAUAAAAAUUGUAAAAAUAAUUUUGUUAAGCUGCCAAAGUUCAGUUACAAAUAUUACAAAACAGUUUAGUAACUGAACUUUGACGGUCCAACUAUUUCACCACACUCUUAAACGGGUUAUAAGUUACCCAACUAAAAACACUUAUAAUCCCUCCCACACGAUCUCUGGUGCGAGCUUCGGCUUCAAUCUCGAUAUAUAGACACUUCAAAUAUCUAUUUCUUAAUUUCUUGAGGUUCAAUGUUGGAUAUGUAAUCAGUGCCUCUAUUCUCUUCCAUAUAUAAGUCUUUGAUGAUCUUCUCCCAGUAUUUUUCUUCAUUUAUAGUAACGUUAUGUCAACCAUAUCAAAUGCAACGAAUCACAUACCACAUUUUCUUUGAUGCAAUACUAAAAACGUGUAACAUACAUAACAUCACCCUAACAAACAUGCAAUUAACUUUAAUUUAAUGUGAUUAACAGAUAUGUUAAAACUUGAUAUCAAAAUGCCUGCAGCAUAAUAGUCACAGUAAGGGAAAUAUGAGGUUCAAGUUUUAACAGGAUGCGAUAGUUGCAAUCAUGAUAACAGCAUGCGAGUAACUUUUUUAGUUAUCAUUAUAACUCUUAUUCCCUCUGUAUUGUAAAUAUUAUGAGAAAAGAUAAUAGUACGCCUGUAAUUUGGCGAAACCAUAACAAAAAUCCAUUUUAUUUUCAUUAGUGAUCAUGUGUAGCUCUUUGUGGACAACUAUGCCUUUUGAGUACUGACCCAAGUGUAUUCAUGUGGACACAAUCGUCCAAAAAAAGAUUUGUGUGGUAAUUUUUUAGUUAGUCCCGUAAAUUUAUUUUCUUAAUACCAUUUUAUAGUAAUAGUACAAAUAAAUAACAGUAAUAAUAAUAAUAAUAACAACAACAUUAAACAGAUAAAUAACAGUAACAAUAAAUAACCUUUUGUUGUAUGUUUGUACAUUUUUAUUAAAACAUCAUUAAACAGAUACAUUAUUUUACACAAGGUUUGAUUAAACAUCUUUUUUUUUUGCAAAUUAAUAUAACUGAAAAUAAAUAAAAAUGUAUAUUAAGCUAUCCGGAUCUGCAAUGCUUCAUUUUCUUAUCUUUCAUUCGGUGAAACAGUAUAAAUUCUAAGGUGAAUCUUGCAAAAGAAAUCUGAAAAUAGGGAAAAGAUAGUUCUGUAUCAGCCACUCGCCGGAAAAUAUUAGUUAUAACUUCUGUUCUGUGCUCAUAUAUUUCCAUGACAGGUUGUAAGUUUGUACCCAUCUAUUAAACUGCUAACAAGUUUUUUUUUUUUUUCCAAAUCUAUUUUGUUUUGUAAAAGGUAAGGGGUGGAGGUGGACAAAUAGAAUGUAAGAUUUUCUGUAGUACUUUGAGGAUAACAAUGAAAUGAAGAAAGAAAAUUUAAAAAAAAAAAUUAACAACGCAGUCCAAGUAUCUCUGCCUGCCUGGAGUCCAUUUGGUAUUUUGCUAAUGCUUAGCUUGUGGGACCAUUCAGAUAGCGUAACAUUCAAUUUAACAGGUAAAGACAAUGUUGUCUCCUUCAGUUCUAACUGGAAAUCUCUUCUUCUUAGUUGUUCUUUGAAAGCUCAACCCUCAAAACCCCUCAUGUCCGUCAUUCACCCAAACACGGUUGACAUUUGAAACCGACUGCUGCGUGUGAUGUGUUAAAAAAGCUUGUCUUACUUUAUAGCCCGCAAUCCUACUAUUAUGGUGUCCGCUUACAAGUAAUUGGAAUAAGAAUUCUAGAAUCGAAAUUAAUAAUGCGUUUAUAUAAAUUUAAAGUUUUGAAUCAGAAUGAAAUUUAUUCGGGUUAUAUAAAUUUAAAAAUUAUUAUUGGGGUGCUUAUUCUCAAAAUCCUACUCUUAUAGAUUGACAAAAAUACUCCCAUCUAAAUUUUUAAAUUCUACUUUCUCCUCGUUAGUUCACGAAAAUAUAAUAAAGAGAAAAGGACACAGAGACCCCUAAUAUUUGAAUAAGGGACACAGAGACCCCUAACGUUUGAAAAAGGGACACAAAACCCCCUAAGGUUUCAAAAAAGACACUCAGACCCCCAUUUGUUAACAUAAAUUAUAAUUUUAAAGUGUAAUUAUCAUUAUACCCUUAUAGCAUAUUAAAAAAUAAUUGUUCAUUGUCCAAUUUAUUCGUAUAUUAUUAAUAAAAUUACGAAUAUAACUUCAUUAUCCAAUUUUUUCAUUUAAUUUUUGUCAAAUUUUCUCUUCAACUAAAUAAAUUUAAUUCAUUGCUCAAGAAUAAAAAUAAAUUAAAUUGAUUACUAAUAUAAUAAAAAUAACAAUUCUCAAUAACAAUUCUUCAUUUAAACUUAUAUAAUCAACAAAAUAAAAAAAAAUUGGUUACAACAAUAAUUACAAAAUUUUAAUUGUACUAAAUAAAAUGGAAAAAUUGGGUAAUGAAGUUAUAUUCAUAAUUUUAUUAAUAAUAUAGAAAUAAAUUGGACAAUGAACAAUUAUUUUUUAAUAUGCUAUAAGGGUAUAAUGGUAAUUGCACUUUAAAAUUAUAAUUUCUGUUAAUAAAUAAGGGUCUUAGUGUCUUUUUUGAAACCU
rnacentral:lncRNA from 1 species